ACCUCUGAGUUUAAGAAUAUCAAUAAGCGGAGGAAAAAAAACUUACAAAGAUUCGCUUAGUAACGGCGAGCUAAUAGGGAAUAGCCCAGCCUUAGAAUCGGGCGGCUCCGUCGUUUGAAUUGUAGUUUGGAGAAGCGUUCUUAGCGGCGGACCGGGCUAAAGUCCCCUGGAAGGGGGCGCCAGAGAAGGUGGGAGCCCCAUUGUUCCCGGACCCUAUCGCACCAUGAAGCACUAUCUACGAGUCGCGUUGUUUGGGAAUGCAGCCCAAAUCGGGUGGUGAAUUUCGUCCAAGGCUAAAUACGGGAUACAGACCAAUAGCGAACAAGUAUCGUGAGGGAAAGAUGAAAAAAACUUUGAAAAGAAAGUCAAAGAGUGCUUGAAAUUAUUGGGAGAAAAGUGGAUGGGGGCCGGUAAUGCACCACGGUCGGACGUGGAAUGGCGAUGAGCUGGUUCGUCGAUCGAUUUGGGGUGUGGACCAGCAUGGAUUGGGGGGCGGCGAAUGCCCGGAAUCUUGAUAUGCUCGUGGAAUGCCGUCUCCUAGAUUGUGGUAGGCAGCAUGUGCCUCCGGCGUGCUUCAGCAUCUGCGCACUUCGACCCUUCUUGAAAAACGG
rnacentral:ncRNA from 1 species